CUGCACGAAGCUGGAAUCGCUAGUAAUCGCGGAUCAGCACGCCGCGGUGAAUACGUUCCCGGGCCUUGUACACACCGCCCGUCACACCAUGGAAGUCUGCAAUGCCCGAAGCCGGUGGCCUAACCACUUAUGUGGAAGGAGCCGUCUAAGGCAGGGCAGAUGACUGGGGUGAAGUCGUAACAAGGUAUC
rnacentral:rRNA from 1 species